rnacentral:rRNA from 1 species
AUUGAACGCUGGCGGCAGGCCUAACACAUGCAAGUCGAACGAGUGGCGGACGGGUGAGUAAUGUCUGGGAAACUGCCCGAUGGAGGGGGAUAACUACUGGAAACGGUAGCUAAUACCGCAUACCAUCGGAUGUGCCCCGAUGGGAUUAGCUAGUAGGUGGGGUAACGGCUCACCUAGGCGACGAUCCCUAGCUGGUCUGCGAGGAUGACCGGCCACACUGGAGCUGAGACACGGUCCAAACUCCUACGGGAGGCACCAGUGGGGAAUAUUGCAGAAUGGGCGCAAGCCUGUUGCAGCCAUGCGGCGUGUAUGAAGAAGGCCUUCGGGUUGUAGAGUACAUGCAGCGAGGUGGCGUUACUCGCGGAGGAAACGCCGGCUAACUCUGUGCCUGCAGCCGCGGUAAUAC